rnacentral:lncRNA from 1 species
AAUACUAAAAACGACGAUGGUGUCACGAUAUUGUUACCCACUAUUGUUGCAUGUUCCCUCCCAUGCUUGGAGGUCCUAAUCGAGGUCUGUAGUAUAAUAUGAUAAGUAAAACAUGUGUAUUCCCUCUGCUAUACCUUCUUACUUCACUGUCAUUUUCUACUAAGACCUUUGGCUCUUGGCACACAAGUCAAACUCAUCACUGAUAUCUUGCACGAUCUAUUUGAUUUUAUUUUUGAAAUUGACCUUUGCACCCACAAAGAUACAUUCGUUUCUAUGAUUCCAUAUCCACCAUGCUACCAAAUGAUCAACAAAUUAAAUCCCCUAUGAUAUUGUUGAGACCUUGGUUCCCCUUUCAUACGAGUUAGACACACACUUCUUGUAUUUUUUGUAAGUUUACAGGUGUUAUGUAGCCUUUUGAACAUUUAUUAUAAAACUAUGUUCAUGAUUUGUUGUGUGAUCACAAACAACUCUGGGAGUCAGGGACUACGCCACUACCGAGAGCUCCGGGAGGGAUAUUGCUGGCCAACGGCGGCCAGGCGAUCGCCUCCAUGGCAUGGAAGCUUGAGGGGUCAUGUCCAUUAGGGAGAGCAGAGGAGAUCCGAUGAGUCCAUUCUCUAGAGUCCAGACUCCAGACUAGGAUAGAACAAGGCUGAGGCAUCCAGUUUCAUCAGUUCAUCACGUCAGUUACCAGGCGCACGCCACAUGGCUGAUUACCAAGGUGGGCCUUUCCUAUCCUCUUCACACCUUUCUUGAUGCAGUGUCAAUCUUUAAAUAAUCUCGACAUAUAUCUUCUCCUUUCAUUUUCUAUGCUAGAGUUACCUUCAUUCGAUAUAUUUUUUCCUUUUAUUUAUCUUUGCUUCAAACAAAUAUAUUAUUUUCUAAAGUACUGACUUUUUGUGUCCUGUAAAAGUAAAACCUAUUUGAAUAGUCAAAUCUUAGUUGUAUCUAUAACAAGAUGAAAGUGGUGGCAGCCAAGAUGAAAGUGGUGGUGGCCGCAUCAAAGGAGAAGGUGCAACAAGACGAACCGAAAG